AAGAGAGAGAGAGCUGAGUAAGUGAAGUGUCUCACCAUUGAAGAAAAGGGAGAUAUUGGAAGACAAGGCUUGGCAAGAGAUCAAAAGGAGUUACAAGUUCUAGUUACAAAAAGAAGGGACCGAACCCGACUUGAUUUACGACAAGCGCAAAGGAAAAGCUCUAGUUUGUGAGUAGGAAUAUUGACUAAGGUGAGGGUUCCCACCGCUAGAACAUUCUAAAUGAUUUCUAUAAAACUAUUGCUAUUAGAUAUAAAGGUAUUUUUUUUUGAAUUUAUUUCCCCAAAAAUAUACGAUGAUUUUUGUGAAUUGAUGUUGCUACAAAAAAAUCUUGAUGAAGCUUCUGGUUGGAGUUAAAAGUUGCUGAAAUGCACAUAUAUUGCCUUUAUAUUAAAUAUUUUAUACGACAUAUACAUAUAUGCUCAUGUCCGGCCGAUGUGGCAAUAAUGUUGUUGAAAUCCUCAUACAUAUGUAAGUGAAUGUAUAUAUAUAAAUAUAUAUUUAUAUACAUCUGUUUAUAUGAUAAAUACGCAUGCUAGGGGCUCGGUCAAAAAGGAACAGAUUAUAUAUUGCAUAUAUAUUUUUAUGACUAAUCUCUAUGUGUGCUUUUAAGUUAUACAUGUGAUGUCCCGAAAAUACAUAUACAUAUAUAUAUAUAUAUAUACACACAUAUUUAUACAUGUUGUUUGACCAAAUGGGUAAGUAAAGUCCUUGAAUACCUUGGAUUGAUAAAUGACAAGUUUGGUAUUUACUUGAGACUUGAAAUAUUUAUUAUGGGUUUAUUGGAAUGUGGUUUAUAAAAUGUUUUGGAACUUCAUAUUAAAUUUUGAAGUAAUACUACCUUUAAGUAUGUGUUGAAAUUCCUAUUCCACAUUCUUGGUGAAUUGUACUUGAUGGAUUAUUAUUUAGUUAUGAGUUAUCUUGUGAAAGUCGGUGCAUGUGGCAACCCCAAACCUUGGCCCGGUUGUGGGGACUAUUUGAAUUUGCAAUAUGAUGUGUUCGGGUGUGGUAGGAAGUGUUGACCCUACUCACUGCCGAUCAUAAAAGUACCACAAACUUUCUUGACAAAGAGGCUCACACGUGGUGUUCCCUCCCUACAAACCGGAGUGACGACUUCGGGAUAAACCGUACGAGGGACGCUGUCCAAUUUGUGGAUCAUAUGUGGAGGAAUUAUUGAGAAUUAUUUUAUGAUAACAUAUAUACAUGCAUAUUUUUUUAUAUACCUAUAUAUUUAUAGAUAUAUAUAUAUAUAUAUAUAUAUAUAUAUAUAUAUAUAUAUAUUUUAUUUUUUUUAUGAAGUGACAUGCAUAGAAUUUCUUUUGUCCUAGAUAUACCCGAAAAUAUUUGAUUUAGGUCUCAAUUGUUGAGUAUGACUUAUGCGAGGAAGAUUUACUUUAUAUAUUUAUUUUUGAAAAUUUAAUUGUUCUUUGGAUUAGCUUGGUUAACCCUCCUACAUGUUUUCCAUACAUGUAGAUAAUAAUAAUAAUACCAUAGUUUUUAAACCCGACCCGUGCAUCGAACCGUCAAGGCUGAAGGUUCAAGGGUUUCGAGGUUCAACCGUUAUGAUGGAGGUUGAACCGCAUAUUUUUUAAAUAAUAAAAUAAUAAAUAUUUAGUUAUAUAGUAUAUAAUUAUUAGUAAUUUAGUAUAUACUAUAUAGUAUAUAAUAUACUAAAUAAGUAUGUAACUAUAUAUACUUAAACAAUAACUUCAUUAGUUCAUUAAGCAAUAAGCCAAUAACACUACAAUUUAAUAUAUAUUAGAUAUAUUGUAUUAUAUUACAUCUAAAUAUAUUGUAUAUAAAUUUUUUUUCAGAAGUAUAUUGUAUAUACAUUAUAUAAUAUAUAUUACAUAAGAUUGUAUAAUGGAGUCUUCUAGAACUAGACUCCUAUAUAUAUUAUAAUUAGUCUAUAAUACAGUACUACUAUAAUAUUAUAUUUGGAGCUUUCUAGAUGUCUUGCUAGCUUUUUCCCUUCGUUUUCUCUUCAACAAAGAGAGAAAAUUAUAAAAAAAAACCAGACAGAGGCAUAACCGACGUUCAUCACCACCGAAAUCUCCUCAAAGUGAAAACUCUUCACUGUAGAGUUGCAGGCCCUCUCCACUUCCCUGUCGAAGUCUUUGUGCCCCCCUCUUGCUCAUGGCCUGGACUCUUGCUGCCAAUAUCACUCAUCUCUGAUCUGCAUCGCCAUCACUGAUCUACUCCAGUUUCUCCAUCUCGCUGAUCUGCUUACCCAACACCAAUGGUGUCCCUUUGUCACCAAUCUGCUUUGUCCACCAUCGUUGAUCUGCUUGUCCACCGUCAAUCUAGUCGAUCAAGCGGGUUUUCAUUAAACCGCACGGUUCACGGUUCGGUGGUUUUACGGGUUUAACUCGCGGUUGUCGACAGUUCGGUGGUUUUACGGGUUUAACUCGCGGUUGUCCACGGUUCAUUGCUUAAACGAUCAAACUACAUGAAUCGGCCCGUGUAUAUCGUCGGGUCACGGGUUUCACGGUCUGACCGGCAAGCCGAUCCAGGUCUGAAAACUAUGAAUAAUACAAGUUAAGAGGACGUGUUUGAGCUCGCACAAGGCUUGGAUGCUAUGUUUAUAUGUAUGCUGGUUUUUACUUUCAAUAAAUUGUAAGGUACAACCUAAGUAGUGAUGGUCAACUUUAUCUUGGUGAUGUAACUAAGAGACUUCGAAAUAUUGUGGUAGCUAUUAUUGAUGUUUUAGUAUGAUUCCAAGAGGUUGACGAGGGCUAUACGCGUGGACCCAAACGAAUGGGAACGCGUGGAUAGCUACCGUGCUGUGUAACCACCUCGGAUGAAGGAGAGGUGUUACACUCACAUUUGCCUCUAGUCGGGCAUUGAUGGUGGGCAUUGGCGGUCGGCCAAAGCAUCAUACGUGCAUCUCCUGUUUGAGCCAGAGAAAGAGUCGGAGAGAGACCUCCUACUAUUCAAAUAGGGAUACACGAUGACACCUUUCCAGCCUUUGCUCUCGUCAAGUGAUGGAUCGUCAGGAUUUGGGUCUGUCAAUUGCGUCCAAAGGAAGGAUGAUCUGUCGAUGGCUUCUUUACGAAGUGAACUUUGUAUUUUUCCUUUUUCAUUUGUCAUCUUACUUCGGAUCAAUAAAAGUUUAUAAUUUUGAACCUGUA